rnacentral:rRNA from 1 species
AUUGAACGCUGGCGGCAGGCUUAACACAUGCAAGUCGAACGAGUGGCGGACGGGUGAGUAAUGCUUGGGAAUCUAGCUUAUGGAGGGGGAUAACUACUGGAAACGGUAGCUAAUACCGCAUACCAUCAGAUGAACCCAUAUGGGAUUAGCUGGUAGGUAAGGUAACGGCUUACCUAGGCGACGAUCCCUAGCUGGUCUGAGAGGAUGAUCAGCCACACUGGGACUGAGACACGGCCCAGACUCCUACGGGAGGCAGCAGUGGGGAAUAUUGCACAAUGGGCGCAAGCCUGAUGCAGCCAUGCCGCGUGUAUGAAGAAGGCCUUCGGGUUGUAAAGUUCUUUCGGUAGCGAGGCGUUAACUACAGAAGAAGCACCGGCUAACUCCGUGCCAGCCGCCGCGGUAAUUC